GGGAUACCAGGACAACAAACCCAAGCAUAGGAGCCACAUUCUACCCCUGCACCCCUCGAUCCCAGAGCAGCAGGGUGCUACAUGCCUGUUCUCUGAAUAUCAAAUACCAGAACAUCAGUAGGAAGGAGAGCGUUCAGGAAUAUUCCCUGUUCCUGUGGUGUCCAGCAAGAGCUUCGAUGCAUUUGCAAGAGCCCAGCUCACUCCUCCAGAAGUGUUGUGGUUUCCAGCCAGCUCUGCUUAUGGUCAUCAGCCUCGGUUUGCCAAGGGGAGCAUCCCUGCCAGCAGCUGCAGGCAGCAGGGCAAGUGCCGAGCAGUGCCCAGGGCUGGUGGCUCGGCAUCUGGCUUCUGUGAAAGAUGUAAUUAGCAGCAAUCAUCACACAUGAGCAGCAGUACACUCGAGAACUGGGUGAGUAUGAACGCUGGGCAAGGGGAUGUCUGCCUUCAAGUGAGAGAAGCAAUAGCAAAAUGGAGAUGAACGCAAGAAGUGCUGUCAAAGGAGAGCCUGAGGCCGCAGGCAGAGCUGGGGGGGUUCAAUGCAUGGCAUACAUUGAGCUGUUUUUUCAAAGAGUUUAAAUAAUGUACCAGCAGCCUGGCAGGGAAGCAGGACUGCAUUUUGGCAAAUCCCCUCCCAUGUACCUCCCCUGGCCACAGCCAGCAGGCUUUGCCUGAUGCCCUCACAAAGGCUUCCCAGAGAGCACAUUUAACUUUUAUUUUUUUAUGGUGUCUGACAGUUUAUUUUUAAUUAAGGCUGCGCUGGAGCAGGAAGGGGAAGGGUUGCUGUGUGCCCAGCAGACGCUUGUGGUUGUGCCAGCCCCAGGCUGGGGAGGGGGCUGCAGGGCGGGAUGGCCGCUGGGGCGCAGCCACACUGCUGGCGGUUCCUUAUCAGAGUGGCACCUGUCAUAAGUCAAUGUUCUAAGAAACAAGAAGCGAAGAAACUCUCACAGGUUCCACUGCCCCCAAGACAUCACACCUGACAAGUCAUUAAAACCCAUCUUUUACGCUUACAAAUUACAACGCACGUGGCAUCCCUCUGGAGAACGUAGAAGUGAAGAGCGGCAGAGGUGGCAGCCCCACUGAGCAGCCCCAUGGGUGCCACACCGGCCAUUACGUGUCCCCGCUCUCACACGGCCCCAGUCCAACCAGCAGCAGCGGGGGAAGCCCAGCGGGCCCAGAUCCCCACACAGGACUGCUGGAGCCGAGCUGCUCCUGCUAAGGCCAACCCAGAGAUCCUGUCUUGGGUGGACGACACGUGUCGGGGCUUCAGAGCAAAGCCCUCUCGUGCGCCAGGGAAACCCAGCCCUGCACCUGCAGACGGCUCCCGCGGGGUGAACAGCGGGUGCUGCCGGGCUGUCUGCGAUCAGACACACAGAACAGCCGCGAUCCCUCCCGGAGUGCGCGGCCCCAGAGCUGCACGAAAGCCCCAUGUGGGGGCGGCUGUGCGCGCUCGGGGCUGCAGCAGCAGCAGCAGCAGCAGAGCGGGCGGCCGCGGGCGGGGCAGCUCAGGGCCCAACUGCUCCACGAGCGACGCUCAGCACUUCGCCGAGGGCAGCCAGCACUCCGCCUAAGCCGGGUGUUUCGCACUUAGAAAGACACCCGCACGUGAAGCUGCGAUGGGAAAGAAGCCUUUUUUAGCAGGCUAGGGGGUACAGCGGGUGGCGCGCCCUGCAGCCGCACCUCAGGACAAAGGCUCCACUGGGCCGCGGCACCUCUCGCCCUUCCCGCUCCGACCCUCCGCUGCAGCAGAGCGCCACCUAGGGGCAGCCCGCCGCUCUGCUCCCACAGCCGUCCGCCGCCGCCCGGAGCCGCGACCGCUCGGGGUGACGGCGGGCUUUGCUCUGGCGGGAAGAGAAUGGCGUUUCAGGUUUCCCGGCUCCGGCUCUUCUCACAGCGCACAGCGCGCUGCCGCGGGAACGUCUCGCGCCUGUCGCAGCCCGGCGGCUCUCAGCCAACCAACCGGCACCGCACCGCCUGCUUUCUGAAGUGCAGAGGAGUUUCUUCAGGGUCCCCGCGAGCGCGGCUCCCUCGCUGCGCCGCCGGCUGUGCUUCGCUGUCGGUCUGUUUGUGGCCUCCGCCGAGAGUCCCGCCCUCCCGCAGCACCAUCGGCACCGUUUGGGUGGCGAAUGAGACGUGCCCCUCACUCAGCUGUUUACGAAGCACGAAAUAGUCGUUUUCUAAAGCAUCAAUAUUUAGGAAAGUCAGCAGCCGGCUCCCUUCUGCUUCCGGCGGUCAGCGGGAACAGUUCUGCUCAGCUCCAGGCUGAGAUGCCGUUGCAAAACCAAACGAUGCUGCUAAAUGCAGUGCUUUGGUUGAACCUCCAUGGAGCAGAUGUUGCUUCCCGUGAGUCAAGAGGGGAACCAGAUGGGCUACUUUCCAAAAUGCAUCCCUGCCUGAGCAUCUUCCCAGGGACACCUCCUCUCCUGCACUAAUGGCUGCAGGAAAAGCAACACGAGGAACUUCAGCUCUCCAACAACCCUUUUGGGCUUCAAAUCCCCCAUAAUUAAAAAAAUAC
rnacentral:lncRNA from 1 species